GACGAACGCUGGCGGCGUGCCUAAUACAUGCAAGUUGAGCGCUGAAGGUUGGUACUUGUACCAACUGGAUGAGCAGCGAACGGGUGAGUAACGCGUGGGGAAUCUGCCUUUGAGCGGGGGACAACAUUUGGAAACGAAUGCUAAUACCGCAUAAAAACUUUAAACACAAGUUUUAAGUUUGAAAGAUGCAAUUGCAUCACUCAAAGAUGAUCCCGCGUUGUAUUAGCUAGUUGGUGAGGUAAAGGCUCACCAAGGCGAUGAUACAUAGCCGACCUGAGAGGGUGAUCGCCCACAUUGGACCUGGGACACGGCCCAAACUCCUACGGGAGGCAGCAGAGGGGAACCUUCGGCAAUGGAGGAAGGUCUGACCGAGCAACCCCCGUUGGUUGAAGAGGUUUUCGGAUCGUAAAACUCUGUUGGUAGAGAAGAACGUUGGUGAGAGUGGAAAGCUCAUCAAGUGACGGUAACUACCCAGAAAGGGACGGCUAACUACGUG
rnacentral:rRNA from 1 species